rnacentral:rRNA from 1 species
GAGCUUGCGGCUUAAUUUGACUCAACACGGGAAAAUUUACCAGGUCCAAACUUUAAUCGAGGGUAAGACAGGAUUGAUUAGCUUUUCUCAAAUUUAGGGUCGUGGUGCAUGGCCGUUCUUAGUUCGUGGAAUGAUUUUGUCUGGUUAAUUCGAUAACGAACGUGACAUCAAACAACAUCUAACUAGAACGCUGUCAGCAGUGGGCGCCUCCCGGGCGCACCUGACUUA